rnacentral:misc_RNA from 1 species
CAGAGCCUAAAAACUCUCAAACCCACUGUUAAUUAUACCUUUUUUGUUGCUUUGGCGGGCAGUCCCAGGGCGGGGCCUUGCCUGUAUUUUUGCGGGUGUCCGCCGAAAGCACCCCUAAAAUUCUUUUUUUAUGGCUGUCUGAGUUUUUUUAAAAAAAAUAAGUCA